GAUCAUUAGUGAAGAUUCAAGGGCCAGCCAUACAGACGUACAAUAAGUGUGUCUCUGGCGGCUCGUAUCCACUAUACAUCCAUAAACCCGUGUGCACUGUUAAGGAGUAAGAAAGAAGGGGAGGGAGAGAGUGCAUGUGCUUUGCAUAUAACUCUCUCUCUUUCUCUUCCUUUCUCUCUCUGGUUAAUUACACAAACUCGUAUGGAUUUGUAUGAACGUGAGAUAUAUCGUUGGACCGUCACUGGCCAACAAAUAUAACACAACUUUCGACAACGGAUCUCUUGGUUCUCCCAUCGAUGAAGAACGCAGCGAAACGCGAUAGGUAAUGUGAAUUGCAGAAUUCCGUGAAUCAUCGAAUCUUUGAACGCACCUUGCGCUCUAUGGUAUUCCGUAGAGCAUGCCUGUUUGAGUGCCGUGAAUUCUCCCAUCCCAAGCGGUUUUUAUCAAAGAAUUGCUAGGCGAAGGGGUUGAGAUGGGCGUUGUUAUAACUGCUUUUCUUCUCUAGAAAAGCUCGCCCGAAAAACAGCUAACGCCUCUGGGCCACUUUGCAUCCGCUUCUCUGAGGGGAGAAGCGGCCAAGCGCGCUCUGAUCAUCAGGCAUAGCAUGAUACGUCAUUUGCUAUGCUGUAGGAGAGCAUUUGGUUGUGGUUAUACCGCGUGCGUUAUUUUUUUUUUGCAAACGCAAAGAAAAAAAAAGCC
rnacentral:misc_RNA from 1 species